AAUUUGUAUGCAGCAUAAUUUGAUAAUGAGAUUUUUGCAUCGCCAUUUUCCAACUACCGAUGCUUAUCUUUAUAAGGCACGAGCUGGGGUUAGAGAGAUUCACUUCCUCCCCUUCAAUCCAACUGACAAAAGGACUGCCCUGACAUAUUUGGAUGCCAAUGGCAAAAUGCAUAGAGUUAGCAAAGGUGCACCAGAACAGGUACAAAAUCAGAACCUUCCAAACAGACACAGGCUCUCACUUUUAUUCUAUCAAGACAUCUGAACUCUUCGUGGCGUAAUUUGCAUUGCAAUACUCAGAUUCUCAACCUGGCAUAUAACAAAUCAGAAAUCGCCAGUAAGGUUCAUGCGAUCAUCGACAAAUUUGCAGAACGCGGAUUGAGAUCCCUUGGAGUUGCCCACCAGGUGAAUUACCAUCUAUGAUCCAAAUAAAAGAACACAAUUUCCAUGCUAGUCAUUCUGAAUCAAUGGAACAACUCACUCUGAUUGCAGCAAGUUCCUAACGGGGAUAAGGACAGCACAGGUGGACCAUGGGAAUUUGUUGGCCUCCUACCCCUCUUCGACCCUCCUCGUCAUGACAGUG
rnacentral:lncRNA from 1 species